rnacentral:rRNA from 1 species
AGAGCACAGGGUGGAUGCCAAGGCACCAUACGACCGAAGAAGGACGUGGCAAGCUGCGAAAAAGCUACGAGGAGCCGCAAGCAGGCAGAGAUUCGUAGAUAUCCGAAUGGGGAAACCCGGCUGGAGUAAUGUCCAGUCAUCAUGAGAUGAAUACAUAGUCUCAUAGAAGGGCACCCGGGGAACUGAAACAUCUAAGUACCCGGAGGAAAAGAAAGAAACAUCGAUUUCCUGAGUAGCGGCGAGCGAAAGGGAAAGAGGCCAAACCAGGGAGCAUGCUCUCUGGGGUUGUGGGUCGGCAAUAAGGCAUUGAGGUAAGGUAGUAGAAGCGCGUUGGAAAGCGCCUCCAAAGAGGGUGAAAGACCCGUAAACGAAACCUGAAGACAGCCAGCCGAUACCAGAGUACCGCAGGACACGAGAAAUCCGGUGGGAAGCAGGAGGGACCACCCUCCAAGCCUAAAUACGAUAUGGUGACCGAUAGCGCAUAGUACCGUGAGGGAAAGGUG